rnacentral:rRNA from 1 species
UACGGAGGGAGCUAGCGUUGUUCGGAAUUACUGGGCGUAAAGCGCACGUAGGCGGCUUUGUAAGUUAGAGGUGAAAGCCCGGGGCUCAACCCCGGAAUUGCCUUUAAGACUGCAUCGCUUGAAUCCAGGAGAGGUGAGUGGAAUUCCGAAGUGUAGAGGUGAAAUUCGUAGAUAUUCGGAAGAAACACCAGUGGCGAAGGCGGACAUACUGGUCCGU